rnacentral:rRNA from 1 species
GAUGAACGCUGACGGAAUGCUUAACACAUGCAAGUCGAGUUGUGGCGGACGGGUGAGUAACGCGUACAGAACUUGCCUCCCAGUUAGGGACACCUUUUGGAAACCAAUGCUAAUACCUGAUACUGUGAGAGAGCUUUGCGUCCCAUUAGCUAGUUGGCGAGGUAACGGCUCACCAAGGCGAUGAUGGGUAGCCGGCCUGAGAGGGUGAUCGGCCACACACGGACACGGGCACCGCCCGUACGGCAACGUGAGGCAGCAGUGGGGAAUAGAGGGCAAAGGACCACAGUCUGAUCCAGGAAUUCGGUGUGCAAGAUGAAGUUUUCGGGAAGUAAAGAGCUUUCAGUUGGGAAGCGGUACCAACAGAAAAAGCGACGGCUAACUACGUGCCAGCAGCCGCGGUAAUAC